CUAAGAAUAUUCCGCAAUGGAGGAAACUCUGACGGAGCGACGCCGCGUGGAUGAUGAAGGUCGGAAGAUUGUAAAAUCCUUUUAUGACUGAGGAAUAAGCCGGGUGAGAGAAACGCCUGGUGGUGACUGUAGGUCAUGAAUAAGCAACGGCUAAUUACGUGCCAGCAGCCGCGGUAACACGUAAGUUGCGAGCGUUGUUCGGAAUUAUUGGGCGUAAAGGGCAUGUAGGCGGUAUUGCAAGCCUGGUGUGAAAGGCAGGGGCUCAACCUCUGGACUGCGCUGGGAACUGCGUAGAGAUUGGGAGGAACACCAGUGGCGAAGGCGACUUACUGGGCCGUAACUGACGCUGAGGCGCGAAAGCGUGGGGAGCGAACAGGAUUAGAUACCCUGGUAGU
rnacentral:rRNA from 1 species